rnacentral:rRNA from 1 species
GACCUCAGAUCAGGCAAGGCUACCCGCUGUAUUUAAGCAUAUUAAUAAGCGGAGGAAAAGAAACUAACAAGGAUUCCCCUAGUAAUAGCGAAUGAAGCGGGAACAGCUCAAAUUNGAAAUCUCCGAAGGGCGAAUUCGUUUAAACC